AUUUAGCAAAUGAGCACCAUUUCACUUUUGGAACAUGCUCUCUCAUUCUUUAACUAAUUUUAUUUCCAUUUUUGUUUUAUUUUAAUCUAAAAAGUUAUAAUCUCAACCAGAAAACAAAAAAAAUAAGUUUGUACAAAUCGACGUUUAAAGUUGUUUAAUAGUAAAUGUAUAUUAAAAACGAACAGUACGAAUACGCGUAACGCAUGCAAUUAGGUGUAUCAUUAGACAUACUAAAAUUACAAAAGAGAUUGCGGCUAAAAGUGGAAAUAAUACACACAUUUUUUAUUUUUUUAUUUAUUUUUUAUAGUUAUUUCUGUUUAGCUAACUGUAUUUAAAUACCUUGUAGGUGUAACCACAUGCGAGAGACUGAUUGACUUAAAAACUUAUAUACAUACAAUAGAGUUCACUUUUCU
rnacentral:lncRNA from 1 species